rnacentral:lncRNA from 1 species
CCUGUCUCUGAUACAUUGUGUGGAUAUGCAUUCAUCUAUCUGGGUGUUGACUUAUUUAAGAAUUCAUAUCUGGGGGUUAACUUAUAAGAAUUCGAUAAACAUGUGUUUCAUGAUAACCUCUUCUUUUGCUAAGAUUGUGCAUUUUGCUCAUUGCAGCUAUGAAGCUACCUCCUCCACGAAGAAUCGUAGUCUUGCAAAGGAGCUCACGACUGGAGCAGUGGCAUCUGUCUUCUUGGUAUGUCAAUAAUAUCUAGCAUAUUCCUACUGUUCGUUUUACCAUCUAUUUCUUGGUCAUAACAAAUCCCUUUUCACUUGUCAGGGUUUCGGAUCCUUGUUCUUGCUGCUUUCUUCUGGCAUUUAUGUUUGAUUAAUUGAAUAGAUUUUGUUGAACAAACUUCCUUUACAUGGUUACUUAUUUGACAUUCUGAGGAUAACUUGAUUUCUGGGCAACAGGGACAUGCAAUUUGCAAGGCAAAGUGUGCCAAUGACACUGAUAUGAAUAGUAGAGAAAUAUCAAGUAUUUUUAGUCAAAGCAUGUUCUAAAUUUUGAUUUGUUAUACUAGCUGCCCCCUACUAUUUAUUUGCACAAACGGAACACGAGUUUCUCUAUCUCAUUAUUGGCUGUGGUUGCUGAAUAUAGAGUUCUGUAUUACUGUGAUUGGAGCACAGGGUGUUAAAGUUUGUAGCCGGGUUUUAGCUAAUUGCCUAAAAUUUUGCCUGAAAAUAAGCUCGAGAAAAUUACGAGAUGUUCUUGAAAAGAGACAGAACGAAGAAGGUUUACAG